rnacentral:sRNA from 1 species
GAGAACCAAAUGAAUCGAAAGAUUCAUGUUUGGUUCGGGAAGAGAUUAUGAGAACAGAGACAAACCCUUACAACAUAAACUUAUUAAAACCUUUUUCAAUAUGACCAACAACAUCAU